CUAUAUAAAUGUCCAUAGGGUUUCCUAAAUGUUUUUUGUUGUCUUCUCCGCCGUUUGAGCUACUUUUCCUGGGAGAAUCCAUGAUGUCGGCGAUCUUCAACCUUCAAUUCGUGAUGCUUGUCCUCGGAUCAUUAACUCGUUGCCUAAGACCUCCAUGAUUCCUGCUAUUAAUAGCUCUCAAAACUGUAUUCUUCUGUAAAUGGGAUAGUACUUCUUUUUUGGCACUGAAAUGAGGGUUUUAGGUCCCUGAGUCAGAUUACAUAUCCAAAUGUGGAAGAGAGGGAGAUAAGGGAUGAUCAAACCCACCAUUCUUGAAUUGUAUUCUGCUUCUCAGGUGUAUUGAUAAGAUCAAACUCACACAACCGUCCCUCAUUACUUGAAGUCCACUUUUGACGGCUGGCUCUGUAUAGUCUAGAUAGUUUUUGGUGUUUGUGAAUGCUUUCUUGGGUUUUAAAUAGGUACUUGCAAGCUGGUUUAGCUCUGUUAGCAAUGACUAUAGCCUUCAGCCUCUUCAUACUUUUUUUCAAUGACAGUCGAAUGUAUAGACAUUGUAGUUUAUCAUUAUUCAGGAUUUUCUUACCUUUGACUUGUAAUUGCUGAAAUGUUGUUAUGCUGAAUCCACCACUAUCAAUUGUUGUGUUUA